UACGGAGGAUCCAAGCGUUAUCCGGAUUUAUUGGGUUUAAAGGGUGCGUAGGCGGAAUGAUAAGUCAGUGGUGAAAGCCUGCAGCUUAACUGCAGAACUGCCAUUGAUACUGUCAAUCUUGAGUACAUUUUGAUGUGGGCGGAAUGUGUCAUGUAGCGGUGAAAUGCUUUAGAUAUGAACACAGAACACCGAUUGCGAAAGGCAGC
rnacentral:rRNA from 1 species